rnacentral:rRNA from 1 species
GACGAACCGUGCGAACGUUGUUCGGAAUCACUGGGCUUAAAGGGCGCGUAGGCGGAUAUCCAAGUCAGGGGUGAAAUCUUUCAGCUUAACUGGAAAACGGCCUGUGAUACUGGAUGUCUGGAGUGAGGUAGGGGCAUGCGGAACUUCCGGUGGAGCGGUGAAAUGCGUAGAUAUCGGAAGGAACACCGAUGGCGAAGGCAGCAUGCUGGACCUCAACUGACGCUGAGGCGCGAAAGCCAGGGGAG